UACCUACGGGGGGCAGCAGUGGGGAAUAUUGGGCAAUGGGCGCAAGCCUGACCCAGCAACGCCGCGUGAAGGAAGAAGGCCUUCGGGUUGUAAACUUCUUUUGUCAGGGACGAAGAAAGUGACGGUACCUGACGAAUAAGCCACGGCUAACUACGUGCCAGCAGCCGCGGUAAUACGUAGGGGGCAAGCGUUAUCCGGAUUUACUGGGUGUAAAGGGAGCGUAGACGGAAAGGCAAGUCAGAAGUGAAAGCCCAAGGCUCAACCAUGGGACUGCUUUUGAAACUGUCAAACUAGAGUACGGGAGG
rnacentral:rRNA from 1 species